GUCGACGGUAACAGGAAGCAGCUUGCUGCUUUGCUGACGAGUGGCGGACGGGUGAGUAAUGUCUGGGAAACUGCCUGAUGGAGGGGGAUAACUACUGGAAACGGUAGCUAAUACCGCAUAACGUCGCAAGACCAAAGAGGGGGACCUUCGGGCCUCUUGCCAUCGGAUGUGCCCAGAUGGGAUUAGCUUGUUGGUGGGGUAACGGCUCACCUAGGCGACGAUCCCUAGCUGGUCUGAGAGGAUGACCAGCCACACUGGAACUGAGACACGGUCCAGACUCCUACGGGAGGCAGCAGUGGGGAAUUUGCACAUGGGCGCAAGCCUGAUGCAGCCAUGCGCGUGUAUGAAGAAGCCUCGGGUGUAAGUACUUCACGGGAAGAGGAGUAAUUAUACUUUCU
rnacentral:rRNA from 1 species